rnacentral:rRNA from 1 species
UACGGGGGGGGCAAGCGUUGUUCGGAAUUACUGGGCGUAAAGGGCUCGUAGGUGGCCAACUAAGUCAGACGUGAAAUCCCUCGGCUUAACCGGGGAACUGCGUCUGAUACUGGACGGCUUGAGUUUGGGAGAGGGACGCGGAAUUCCAGGUGUAGCGGUGAAAUGCGUAGAUAUCAGGAAGAACACCGGUGGCGAAGGCGCUCUGCUAGGCCGCAACUGACACUGAGGGACGAAAGCUAGGGGAGCGAAUGGG